UGAUUCGGGCUCCGGCCCGAUCCUCCCACCCUUUGUGUACCUACCUCUGUUGCUUUGGCGGGCCGCGGUCCUCCGCGGCCGCCCCCCUCCCCSSGGGGGUGGCCAGCGCCCGCCAGAGGACCAUCAAACUCCAGUCAGUAAACGAUGCAGUCUGAAAAACAUUUAAUAAACUAAAACUUUCAACAACGGAUCUCUUGGUUCUGGCAUCGAUGAAGAACGCAGCGAAAUGCGAUAAGUAAUGUGAAUUGCAGAAUUCAGUGAAUCAUCGAAUCUUUGAACGCACAUUGCGCCCUUUGGUAUUCCGAAGGGCAUGCCUGUUCGAGCGUCAUUACAACCCUCAAGCUCUGCUUGGUAUUGGGCACCGUCCUUUGCGGGCGCGCCUCAAAGACCUCGGCGGUGGCGUCUUGCCUCAAGCGUAGUAGAACAUACAUCUCGCUUCGGAGCGCAGGGCGUCGCCCGCCGGACGAACCUUCUGAACUUUUCUCAAGGUUGACCUCGGAUCAGGUAGGGAUACCCGCUGAACUUAAGC
rnacentral:rRNA from 1 species